rnacentral:rRNA from 1 species
UACAGAGGUCCCAAGCGUUGUUCGGAUUCACUGGGCGUAAAGGGUGCGUAGGUGGUCGGGUAAGUUUGAUGUGAAAGCUCCGAGCUCAACUCGGAAAUGGCAUUGAAUACUAUUCGGCUAGAGGGUUGGAGGGGGGACUGGAAUUCUCGGUGUAGCAGUGAAAUGCGUAGAUAUCGAGAGGAACACCAGUGGCGAAGGCGAGUCCCUGGACAACUCCUGACACUGAGGCACGAAAGCUAGGGGAGCAAACAGG